rnacentral:rRNA from 1 species
CGUCAAAUCAUCAUGCCCCUUAUUGACCUGGGCUACACACGUGCUACAAUGGUUGGUACAACGAGUUGCGAGUCGGUGACGGCGAGCUAAUCUACUUAAAGCCAAUCUCAGUUCGGAUUGUAGGCUGCAACUCGCCUACAUGAAGUCGGAAUCGCUAGUAAUCGCGGAUCAGCACGCCGCGGUGAAUACGUUCCCGGGCCUU